GGACUACAGGGGUAUCUAAUCCUGUUUGCUCCCCACGCUUUCGUGCCUCAGUGUCAGUAGCUGUCCAGAAAGUCGCCUUCGCCACUGAUGUUCCUUCCGAUAUCUACGCAUUUCACCGCUACACCGGAAAUUCCACUUUCCUCUACAGUACUCUAGCUCUACAGUAUCAGGCGCAAUCCCCAGGUUAAGCCCAGGACUUUCACACCUAACUGAUAGAACCACCUACGCACCCUUUACGCCCAGUAAUUCCGAUUAACGCUCGCACCCUCUGUAUUACCGCGGCUGCUGGCAC
rnacentral:rRNA from 1 species